GGUGGGGUCAGCCCUCCUUUUUGCUAGGGGACAUUCUCAGGUGCUGCAGGAACUUGCUCUGCCAUGGACAAGUUUAUUGUGAAAUCAGGAGAUUUCACAGGGAGCCACACGGAGGCAACCGUGAGGGCAGAAGAAAAUGGAAAACAAAGACAAACAAACCAAAGGAGGAGGAUGAAGUAG
rnacentral:lncRNA from 10 species